rnacentral:rRNA from 1 species
UGCUAGUCGAACGAGUUCACACUCGUGGCACAUAGCUCAGUAACACGUGGCCAAGCUACCCUUCAGUCGGCAAUACCCUCGGGAAACUGAGGCUAAUAGCCGAUACGAAACAGACGCUGGAAUGCACUGUAUUCCAAAGACAUCGCUGAAGGAUGCGGCUGCGGCCGAUUAGGUAGACGGUGGGGUAACGGCCCACCGUGCCAGUAAUCGGUACGGGUGAUGAGAGUCAGAGCCCGGAGACGGAAUCUGAGACAAGAUUCCGGGCCCUACGGGGCGCAGCAGGCGCGAAACCUUUACACUGCACGAAAGUGCGAUAGGGGAAUCCCAAGUGCGAGGGCAUAUUAGCCCUCGCUUUUGUUGACUCUAAGGCGGUCAACGAAUAAGAGCUGGGCAAGACCGGUGCCAGCCGCCGCGGUAAUACCGGCAGCUCAAGUGAUGUCCCAUAUUAUUGGGCCUAAAGCGUCCGUAGCUGGCCGACCAAGUCUAUCGGGAAAUCCACCUGCCCAACAGGUGGGCGUCCGGCAGAAACUGUGCGGCUUGGAACCGGAAGGCUCAGAGAGUACGUCCGGGGUAGGAGUGAAAUCCCGUAAUCCCGGACGGACUACCGAUGGCGAAAGCACUCUGAGAAGACGGCUUCGACAGUGAGGGACGAAAGCUCGGGUCUCAAACCGGAUUAGAUACCCGGGUAGUCCGAGCCGUAAACAAUGCUCGUUAGGUGUGGCACCCACUACGAGU